UACAAGGUUUGUUAAUGUGGAGGAAAGAACAAACAUUGAGGGAUGGCACGCAUGUAUUUUGGUGUCAGAGAGACGGGAAAAGGAGUUAAAUACAAGGUUGGAUUUAAGUGUUAGAAGGUAAACGGUGACAUAAAGGGAGUACCAGACAACAUACAGUACGAAGAGCUGGUUAAAGAAUAUGGUUUAGACAUUUUGAGAAACUCAGGAUUCAAAGGAUAAAAAGGAAGAAAAUACUUUCACUUUCAACGGAACCCGGACUAUAUGACACCAUAAUUUCUUACAUAUGAAUAAAGACACGAAAACUGGGCUAAGAGAAGUGUAUUAGUCGAUUAUAUCGGUACUCACCUCACUACCAUCAUACUUAACGGAAGAAUAAAAAGAAAAGUACAACCUUUUUGGAUCGAGUUUUAAAAUGCAACAACCUCUAUCUCGAAUACUCCUAACAUACGCGUCCUCGCGUGGAAUUCUAAUCCAAGGCUGAUGCGCCUUUAUUCCUUACUUCGGUAUUUCCCGACAAAGCCUGUACAUGGUCACUCAACCUGCUAGAAAUAGCAGCUGAAUCGCCUUUAAAUCUCACUGAUAGCUCAAGAAAGGACACACUUGAUAAUAUCCUAGAUUUCCAAAGAAAAAAGAAAAAAAGACAGAUGGUCAAAGCUAGAACGUCUUUAAUCAUAAUUCUGAUCGAUCGAUCAGAACUGACCUGUGGCUAAGUAACAGCAUCGACCACGAGUUCAAUAUUCCUAUAUUCCCAUGUUGGCUGCUCGAGAUAUUUUCCCCCAACUCUGGAGGCGGUUAAGGCCUCCCUUCUGACUGUGUAGAUGGAAGAACAUUGUGAAACCGAUCAUGUAGUGGGCAAAGAAUACAUAUACUUACAGAAAACAUAGAACAGUUCGAAAGCUUUUGAUUCCGUAUGUAUGUAAAAUAUGUGGCGUUCCAAAUUUUUCAAAUAUUUUUGUAAUAUUUAGUCAAAUGUUUUAAGUGUUCGCUUGGGACAGUUAUACUUGCAAGUUUUAAACGAACUUAAAUGACUUAAGGAGAAAAUAAUUUGAUCAAUAUCUACCCGUAGAGUAAUAGCUAAUUGCUAUUUUCACAGAAACGUUUCUGUACACCAUCUCUGAUCAAGUCACCUGAUAAUCAAAUAAAACUAAUGGGAUUGGUGUCAGUUAAAAUGUCUUAUGCAAAAGUUGUUCGCAA